rnacentral:rRNA from 1 species
AUUGAACGCUGGCGGCAGGCCUAACACAUGCAAGUCGAACGAGUGGCGGACGGUUGAGUAAUGUCUGGGAAACUGCCUGAUGGAGGGGGAUAACUACUGGAAACGGUAGCUAAUACCGCAUACCAUCAGAUGUGCCCAGAUGCGAUUAGCUUGUUGCUGGGGUAACGGCUCACCAAGGCGACGAUCCCUAGCUGGUCUGAGAGGAUGACCAGCCACACUGGAACUGAGACACGGUCCAGACUACUACGGGAGGCAGCAGUGGGAAAUAUUGGACAAUGGGCGCAAGCCUGAUGCAGCAAUGCCGCGUAUAUGAAGAAGGCCGUCGGGUUGUAAAGUACUUUAAGCGUGGAGGCGGUACCCACAGAAGAAGCACCGGCUAACUCCGUGCAAGAAGCCGCGGUAAUAC